rnacentral:rRNA from 1 species
GCAAGUCGAACGGCAGCACGGGAGCAAUCCUGGUGGCGAGUGGCGAACGGGUGAGUAAUAUAUCGGAACGUGCCCAGUCGUGGGGGAUAACGUAGCGAAAGCUACGCUAAUACCGCAUACGAUCUAUGGAUGAAAGCGGGGGAUCGCAAGACCUCGCGCGAUUGGAGCGGCCGAUAUCAGAUUAGGUAGUUGGUGAGGUAAAGGCUCACCAAGCCGACGAUCUGUAGCUGGUCUGAGAGGACGACCAGCCACACUGGGACUGAGACACGGCCCAGACUCCUACGGGAGGCAGCAGUGGGGAAUUUUGGACAAUGGGCGCAAGCCUGAUCCAGCAAUGCCGCGUGCAGGAUGAAGGCCUUCGGGUUGUAAACUGCUUUUGUACGGAGCGAAAAGGCUUCCACUAAUACUGGGGGCUCAUGACGGUACCGUAAGAAUAAGCACCGGCUAACUACGUGCCAGCAGCCGCGGUAAUACGUAGGGUGCAAGCGUUAAUCGGAAUUACUGGGCGUAAAGCGUGCGCAGGCGGUUAUGUAAGACAGAUGUGAAAUCCCCGGGCUUAACCUGGGAACUGCAUUUGUGACUGCAUAGCUAGAGUACGGUAGAGGGGGAUGGAAUUCCGCGUGUAGCAGUGAAAUGCGUAGAUAUGCGGAGGAACACCGAUGGCGAAGGCAAUCCCCUGGACCUGUACUGACGCUCAUGCACGAAAGCG